UACGGGGUGAGCAAGCGUUGUUCGGAUUUACUGGGCGUAAAGGGCGCGUAGGCGGUAGCACAAGUCAGUUGUGAAAUCUCCGGGCUUAACUCGGAACUGCCAAGUGAAACUGUCAUGCUAGAGUGCAGAAGGGGCAAUCGGAAUUCUUGGUGUAGCGGUGAAAUGCGUAGAUAUCAAGAGGAACACCUGAGGUGAAGACGGGUUGCUGGGCUGACACUGACGCUGAGGCGCGAAAGCCAGGGGAGCAAACGGG
rnacentral:rRNA from 1 species